AGCAGCCGCGGUAAUUCCAGCUCCAAUAGCGUAUAUUAAAGUUGUUGCAGUUAAAAAGCUCGUAGUUGAAUUUCGGGAUCAAUAUGUCGGUCGUGCCUUCGGUACGUACUGGCAUCAUUGAUUUCUCCCUUCUGACGAACCACGAUGUCAUUAAUUUGGUGUCAUGGGGAGUCAGGACUGUUAACUUUGAAAAAAUUAGAGUGUUUAAAGCAGGCUCACGCUUGAAUACAUUAGCAUGGAAUAAUGAAAUAGGACGUUUGACCCUAUUUUGUUGGUUUCUAGGAUCAGCGUAAUGAUUAAUAGGGAUAGUUGGGGGCAUUAGUAUUCAAUUGUCAGAGGUGAAAUUCUUGGAUUUAUUGAAGACUAACUACUGCGAAAGCAUUUGCCAAGGAUGUUUUCAUUAAUCAAGAACGAAAGUUAGGGGAUCGAAGACGAUCAGAUACCGUCGUAGUCUUAACCAUAAACUAUGCCGACUAGGGAUCGGAUGAUGUUAAUUUUUAAUGACUCAUUC
rnacentral:rRNA from 1 species